rnacentral:tRNA from 1 species
GCCUCUGUGGUGUAAACGCUUAACAUGCUCAGCUGUUAACUGAAAGGCUGGAGGUUCAAGUCCACCCAUAUAUA